rnacentral:rRNA from 1 species
UACGUAGGGUGCAAGCGUUGUCCGGAAUUAUUGGGCGUAAAGAGCUCGUAGGCGGUUUGUCGCGUCGGCUGUGAAAACUCGGGGCUCAACCCCGAGCCUGCAGUCGAUACGGGCAAACUAGAGUGUGGUAGGGGAGACUGGAAUUCCUGGUGUAGCGGUGAAAUGCGUAGAUAUCGAGAGGAACACCUGCGGCGAAGGCGGGUUGCUGGGCUGACACUGACGCUGAUGCGCGAAAGCUAGGGGAGCGAACGGG